UGCAUAUCAAUAAGCGGAGGAAAAGAAACCAACAGGGAUUGCCUCAGUAACGGCGAGUGAAGCGGCAACAGCUCAAAUUUGAAAUCUGGCUCUUUCAGGGUCCGAGUUGUAAUUUGUAGAAGAUGCUUCGGGUGUGGCUCCGGUCUAAGUUCCUUGGAACAGGACGUCAUAGAGGGUGAGAAUCCCGUAUGUGACUGGCUGCCUUCGCCUAUGUGAAGCUCUUUCGACGAGUCGAGUUGUUUGGGAAUGCAGCUCAAAAUGGGUGGUAAAUUUCAUCUAAAGCUAAAUAUUGGCCAGAGACCGAUAGCGCACAAGUAGAGUGAUCGAAAGAUGAAAAGCACUUUGGAAAGAGAGUUAAACAGUACGUGAAAUUGUUGAAAGGGAAGCGCUUGCAACCAGACUUGCACGCGGUUAAUCAUCUGGUGUUCUCACCGGUGCACUUGACCGCGUUCAGGCCAGCAUCGGUUCAGGUGGUGGGAUAAAGGCCUUGGGAAUGUGGC
rnacentral:rRNA from 1 species